UGCAUAUGGAUGUUCUGUUUUCUCUAUCAAUUGUAUAUCUGUCUAUAAAAUAUAGAUACGUUUCUCCCUUUCUGUUUAAGCAGAGAUGGAUCAAUGGAGGAAACUGUAAUUGAACAAGACACUUCUGGAAGGAGGAAGAGCCAGAACAACUGAUGGGCUCUGGCGGUCACUCUACAACCAGAGGAGAGAGACCCAACAGUGUAUUGUCAGAUGACAGGUUAGCCAUGCCUGGGAAGACAGCUGAGUGUGCAGACUCCCUCCCUGUCUCCUGGGCGACGAAGCCUCCAGAUGACCUGCCAACGAUAAUGAGAUUUAUUCAGCAGCAAUGAGAGGAUAAAAUUCCACCACUCCUGAAUGGAAUUCUGCUCAUUCUUUGGGAACACUCUUGUGUCACUUUAAGUCACAAAUAAUAGCUUCAUGUUGGAAGUUAAGUUUCCAGUUUAUCUUUCUGGCCAUGAACAAACCAACUACAUAUAUAUAUAAAAGAAACAUCUUGGAGGCAGUUAGGGAAAAUAUAUAUGUAUCAGGCACCAAGAAUCACCAUUAACCCUACUAGGUGUGACAGUGUCCCUGUGGCAUGCAUGAAAACGUCCCUGUUCUCUGGAAAGGCAGCCUGAGGCAUCCAGAAAUGUGAAAUGCCAGAUGUCUGCAAUCUAGCCGAUAAUACCUCAGGAAAAAAAGAUGAAGCAAGUACAUGAACUUUAACAAUCAUUAAAUCUAGGUGAUAGGCACCUUCUAUAUGCGCAAAAACCCUCA
rnacentral:lncRNA from 1 species